GCCUCCGUGGCGCAGUUGGUUAGCGCGUUCGGCUGUUAACCGAAAGGUUGGUGGUUCAAGCCCACCCAGAGGCG
rfam:Strongyloides venezuelensis genome assembly, scaffold: SVE_scaffold0000035